rnacentral:rRNA from 1 species
UACAGAGGGUGCGAGCGUUAAUCGGAAUCACUGGGCGUAAAGGGUGCGUAGGUGGAUAGUUACGUGUGAUGUGAAAUCCCUGGGCUUAACCUGGGAAUGGCAUCGCAAACUGGUUAUCUAGAGGUCAGAAGAGGUGAGUGGAAUUUCCGGUGUAGCAGUGAAAUGCGUAGAGAUCGGAAGGAACACCCGAGGCGAAGGCGGCUCACUGGUCUGACACUGACACUGAGGCACGAAAGCGUGGGGAGCAAAC